AACGCACAUUGCACCCUCUGGUAUUCCGGAGGGUAUGCCUGUUUGAGUGUCAUUAAUGUAUCAACACAGACUGGUUUUACCUGUUCUGAUGCUUGGAUGUUGAAGGCUUGCUGGCAUUUACUGCCAGCUCCUUUUAAAUGCAUUAGCAGAAACUUACAAAGCUGGCUUCAGUUUGAUAAUAAUUGUUAUCUGUAUUGCUGUUGCUAGUGGUUAUUGUUUCAGCUUCCAAUUGUCCUUAUAGGACUGUCUCUCUAGAGGCAUAACCUUGACACUUGACCUCAAAUCAGGUAGGACUACCCGCUGAACUUAA
rnacentral:misc_RNA from 1 species